AAGUUGCGGACACUGCAGUGGGCCAGGGCUUGAUGACAUUUGUUGCCCAGCUGCUGGUGCUACCGCGACGUACUUGGAACAACGCUUCUGCUUAUUUCCUCUGCCUGCACCUUAUAUUUGUUGUGUUUAUCGAGACCUGGCCUGUCUCUGCCUCGUUGAAGACAAAUGGACACAAGUACUGGUUGCUGUUGGUUUGUUUGGUUUGCUCAGUCUGAGCGUGAUAAGGGAGGCAGCUUUUGCAUCUGCAACAGAACAUUGGUGGAUGUUGUGUGAAGCACUUUCUCCAUGCUUUUUCACUACCUGAGCAAGGUAACUUUCUUGGUGCUUCAUCACGCAAUUUAUACAAUCAACUUCCAUUAAUUCUACCCUCACGAGACUGACGGGUCGAAUUAAGAUGCAAAAACCUGUUGAAGCACCGUUGAUUCAUUUGGCAAUAUGUGCUUGAGUAACACGCCUCUGAAACGAACGUGCAUCAAAUUUCUAUUUGUCCACAGUAUAAAACUAAAGUAGAAAUGACUUAACUCCAAACCAAAGUAGAAACCUACGCGUACCUCAUUUUUUAGAAUGCCAGCUGAUUUUCCAAAGCCAGCUUCGCCGUAUUACAGCCAUGAUAUGUGGUAAAGCAUAUGAAUGGUGCAACCACGGUUUUAGUUUCGCAAUCGAAUGCACAGCUAGGCAAUUUUCGUCUGAAUGUCCUUCGAAAACAAAAAGUGUUCGUUAGAAUCAGAUAAGUACCACAAUCGGACAUUGUCAGCUACGUUACUGCUUGAAAAUCUUUCUCGGGUGGGUCAAAAAUAGGCAUUUCAGAGAGAUGGCAUUUGUUUAACGCAUUCACUGUCCCCUAAGCUCUACUGAGACAUGGGCUGCCACUAAAAGGGGUCAUUAUUGGGGUCUGGUCAAGUUCGCAUUAUCCGGCGAAUGCCAGUUUUAGGAUCGAAAUGAUGAAUGUUUAAUCCCAUAGAAAUGCAUGGGCGUCGGACAGGUUCGAAUUAACUGAAAAAAUUAAAUUAA